GCAUAGUUGGUUCAGUGGUAGAAGGCUCGCCUUCCAAGCAGGAGGCCUGGGUUCAAUUCCUGGCCAGUGUC
rnacentral:tRNA from 1 species